AACGAACGCUGGCGGCAGGCUUAACACAUGCAAGUCGAACGCCCCGCAAGGGGAGUGGCUGACGGGUGAGUAAAGCGUGGGAAUCUACCUAGUUCUACGGACCAACUGAGGGAAACUUCAGCUAAUACCGUAUACGCCCUACGGGGGAAAGAUUUAUCGGAAUUAGAUGAGCCCGCGUAAGAUGAGCUAGUGGGUGAGGUAAUGGCUCACCAAGGCGACGAUCUUUAGCUGGUCUGAGAGGAUGAUCAGCCACACUGGGACCGAGACACGGCCGAGACUCCUACGGGGGGCAGCAGUGGGGAAUAUUGGAGAAUGGGCGCAAGCCUAAUCCAGCCAUGCCGCGUGGGUGAUGAAGGCCUUAGGGUUGUAAAGCUCGUUCAGUGGGGAAGAUAAUGGCGGUACCCACAGAAGAAGCCCCGGCUAACUUCGUGCCAGCCGCCGCCGUAAAAC
rnacentral:rRNA from 1 species